rnacentral:rRNA from 1 species
CUACGGGAGUCAGCAGUCGAGAAUAUUGGACAAUGGGGGAAACCCUGAUCCAGCGACGCCGCGUGUUUGAAGAAGUUCUUCGGAAUGUAAAAAACUUUUUUAAGGGAGCAAUCCUUCGGGAUGAGAGUACCUUAAGAAUAAGGGGUGACUAAACUCGUGCCAGCAGUAGCGGUAAUACGAGUGCCCCGAGCGUUAUCCGUAUUUAUUGGGCGUAAAGGGUCCGUAGGCGUUCUGUUAAGUUUUCUGUUAAAUCCUCGAGCUCAACUUGAGAGCUGCAGAAAAAACUGGCAGAAUAGAGUACGUUAGAGGCUAAUAGAACACUUGGUGGAGGGGUGAAAUCCGUUGAUAUCAAGUGGAAUACCAAAUGCGAAGGCAAUUAGCUGGGGCGAUCCUGACGCUGAGGGACGAAAGUGUGGGAAUCAAAAAGGAUUAGAUACCCGCGUAGUC